UACGUAGGGUGCGAGCGUUAAUCGGAAUUACUGGGCGUAAAGCGUGCGCAGGCGGUUCUCCAAGUCCGUUGUGAAAGCCCUGGGCUCAACCUGGGAAUUGCAGUGGAUACUGGCGAGCUAGAGUGCGGUAGAGGAUGGUGGAAUUCCCGGUGUAGCGGUGAAAUGCGUAGAGAUCGGGAGGAACACCCGUGGCGAAGGCGGCCAUCUGGACCAGCACUGACGCUGAGGCACGAAAGCGUGGGGAGCAAACAGG
rnacentral:rRNA from 1 species